GCCAGCGUGGUCCAGUGGUUUGAAUGUUGGACUAUGACUCUGGAGAUCAGGGUUUAAUUCCCAGCUCAGUGA